rnacentral:rRNA from 1 species
GAUGAACGCUAGCGGCAGGCCUAAUACAUGCAAGCCGAACGGCAAAGGUUUUCAGCAAUGGGAACCCUAGAGUGGCGUAAGGGUGCGUAACACGUAUGCAAUCUACCCUUAACAGGCGGAUAGGUCCCCGAAAGGGGAUUAAGCCGCCAUAGGAAUUUUGGAUGGCAUCAUUUGAAAUUUAAACUACGGUGGUUAAGGAUGAGCAUGCGCAUGAUUAGUUAGUUGGCGGGGUAACGCCACCAAGACUUUGAUCAUUAGGGGAACUGAGAGGGUUGUCCCCCACACUGGCGACUGAGGAUACGGGCCAGACUCCGUACGGGAGGCAG